UACUAACACGUCGGAUGGCCGUGUCACCGUUUCUGAACGCGUUGUCCAAGUUCCGGAAAACGUCAGCCAUUUAUACCGACGAUCUCAGGGCGCCAAGCUCUUAAGUUCUGUCCUGUCCAUUCGCAACGUUGAGAAGGCUGAUCAUGGCCGGUAUAAAUGUUACGUUUUCCCCGACAAUGAUUCAACGUCCAAGAUGGCAAAAAGGACUCAUGAGUUUCCCGUUUGCAGCUAUACUCUCUAUUAUCCUGACACGGAUUUGGAGAAGCUUGUAGACCGAAGGCUGACCAAGACUUGUAAAACGCAUCUGACGUGCCUAGUAGUACAUUAUCCUUACUGCCCAUGUGACACGGAUUCGUGUAGAAUGUUGCUGAUCAAAGAUGGAAAAAUGGUUGCAUCAUCUACGUCUGUUGAAUUAAAAAAAUACACCUUUAAGUCAACGUUGAAGAUCUCCAUUGAUGGUCCAGAAGAUUUCGGACGGUAUGACUGUGUGCUGAAGCAGUUGGUUGUUGAUUUUGUAGAUGGGUCGACAUUCGAGAAUUCGAGAGCUGGAAUAUCGUUGUAUC